AGAGGCCCUCUGUGGCCGGGGUGGAAUGCUUGCCUCAUCGCUGCAGUGACGAAGCAAGCAUUCUGCCAGGCCGCUCACACUGCCCGC
rfam:Myotis brandtii contig302804, whole genome shotgun sequence.